rnacentral:rRNA from 1 species
GAAAGUAAAGAAGGGCGCAUGGCGGAUGCCUUGGCUCUCGGAGGCGAUGAAGGACGUGAUAAGCUGCGAUAAGCUUUGGGGAGGUGCAAAUGACCUUUGAUCCAGAGAUUUCCGAAUGGGACAACCCAAUAUCUUGAAGAGGUAUUAUCCAACGUUGUUGGAGGCUAACGCAGGGAACUGAAACAUCUUAGUACCUGCAGGAAAAGAAAAUAAACAAUGAUUCCCCCAGUAGUGGCGAGCGAACGGGGAACAGCCCAAACCAUCCAUGUUACGGCAUGUGUGGGGUUGUAGGACUACGCCGUUGCAUGAAGACAUCAGAGAAGAACUUUCUGGAAAGAAAGACCAUAGAGCAUGACAGUUGCGUAUUCGAAUGUUGUCGAAGCAUAGUAGUAUCCUGAGUAGCGCGGAGCACGAGGAAUUCUGCGUGAAUCUGCCGGGACCAUCCGGUAAGGCUAAAUACUCCCGAGAGACCGAUAGCGAACCAGUACCGUGAGGGAAAGGUGAAAAGCACUUCGAACAGAAGAGUGAAAUAGUUCCUGAAACCGUGCGCCUACAAGCGGUCGGAGCUCGUUAAUGAGUGACGGCGUGCCUUUUGCAUAAUGAACCUACGAGUUGCCUUUGCCGGCAAGGUUAAGUGUGACGACACACGUAUCCGAAGCGAAAGCGAGUCUGAAUAGGGCGUAUAGUCGGCAGUGGCAGACGCGAAACCAAGUGAUCUACCCUUGGCCAGGUUGAAGGCUGGGUAACACCAGCUGGAGGACCGCACCAAUAAGCGUUGAAAAGCUUCUGGAUGAGCUGAGGGUAGGGGUGAAAGGCUAAUCAAACUUGGAGAUAGCUCGUACUCCCCGAAAUGCAUUUAGGUGCAGCCUUGCGGGUUACUGAUGUGAGGUAGAGCGACUGAUAAGAUGCGAGGGCUUCACCGCCUAUCAAGUCUUGACAAACUCCGAAUGCGCAUCAGUUCUACCGCAGGAGUGAGGGCAUGGGUGCUAAGGUCCGUGCCCGAGAGGAGAAGAAUCCGGACCACCUGCUAAGGUCCCGAAAUGACAGCUAAGUUAAACUAACGAAGUCUGACUGCUAAGACAGCUAGGAUGUUGGCUUGGAAGCAGCCAUUCAUUUAAAGAGUGCGUAACAGCUCACUAGUCGAGGAGUCGGGCGUGGAUAAUAAUCGGGUAUCAAGUUGUCUACCGAAGCAGUGGGAUCAUUUAUAUGAUCGGUAGGGGAGCAUUCCAGUCAGCGUCGAAGGCGUACCGUGAGGUAUUCUGGAGCGUCUGGAAAAGCAAAUGUAGGUAUAAGUAACGAUAAAGGGGGCGGGAAACCCCCUCGCCGAAAGACUAAGGUUUCCUGAUCAACGCUAAUCGGAUCAGGGUCAGUCGGGUCCUAAGGCUCAGCCGAACGGCGAUGCCGAUGGCAGAAACGGUUAAUAUUCCGUUACUACCUUCAGGAGUGACGUGGAGACGCAGUAGUGACAGUGCCGCCAUCUGACGGAAUAGAUGGUUGAAGGGUGUAGGAGUCGAUCAUGGCAGGCAAAUCCACCAUGAGAUCCGAACCUGAUAGUAUGCCGCGUCCUUCGGGACAAGGCAAUAGUGCGCGUAAGCAUGCUGCCGAGAAAAUCCGCUAAACUUAAUCCUGGAGGUACCCGUACCGCAAACGGACACACGUAGUCGGGAUGAAUAUUCUAAGGCGCUUGAGUGAUUCACGGUUAAGGAACUAGGCAAACUGACCCUGUAACUUCGGGAUAAAGGGUCCCUACCCUUUUAUGGGAGGGCGCAGAGAAUCGGUCCAGGCAACUGUUUAACAAAAACACAGGGCUGUGCCAAAUCGAAAGAUCCAGUAUACAGCCUGACACCUGCCCGGUGCUGGAAGGUUAAGAGGAGAUGUCAUCGAUGAGAGAAGCGUUGAAUUGAAGCCCCAGUAAACGGCGGCCGUAACUAUAACGGUCCUAAGGUAGCGAAAUUCCUUGUCGGGUAAGUUCCGACCUGCACGAAUGGUGUAAUGAUCUGGACGCUGUCUCAACCGUGAGCUCAGUGAAAUUGUAGUAUCGGUGAAGAUGCCGAUUACCCGCGAUGGGACGAAAAGACCCCGUGAACCUUUACUAUAGCUUAUCAUUGAAUCUGGGCACGUGAUGUGUAGGAUAGGUCGGAGGCUUUGAAGCAGGUACGCCAGUAUUUGUGGAGCCGCUGUUGAAAUACGACCCUUUAUUUGUUUGGAUUCUAACCCGUGGAACGGGGACAUUGAUUGGUGGGUAGUUUGACUGGGGUGGUCGCCUCCAAAAGCGUAACGGAGGCUUCUAA